CAAUGCUGCAACAGAUCCGUGAAGGCCUUAAGGUGUACAUCUGAUCGAUGUCAGGCAGAGAAAGCCGAAUGAAUGCCAUGAUCUUUUUGUGACAGGAUGCGAUGACAAGGUUGAUUCGCAUUACAUCCUAUCACACCUGGCCCCAGACAUGAGUCCAAACGGUUCAGGAAAGCACAAGGAGGAGUCCAAAAUUCUGGAAUAUUUUCAAGAUUUCCUUCUUGAACUUGAAGAUGCACAACCAGAAGACGAGGAUGGAGAAACUCCAUCCGUUCCUGCGGUGAUGCAGUGGAUGACUGGGCAGGCACACAGGCAUCUGUUUGUCUCUGAGAGAGAGCAAUUCAAAAUAGCCAUAAGAUUUGACCACAACUGUCUAGAGCAUAUGCCAGGCCACACCAUAUGUUAUCCCAUAGUAAGUGCCUGCACCAACACCAUCACACUUCCAACAGACCAUGUGGGGAAUUACGAGUCCUUUAAAACCAAUCUGCUUACUGCCAUUAAAUUUGGUGCCAGCUUUGACAGAGUGUAAUUUCUGAAACACAUGUUCAUUGUCUUCAGUUAAAAAAAAUCUGGUAGUUUUUACCACAAUUUAAUUUGAAGUGUUGGUUGUUAUGAUUUUCACUGUAACCACUGUUGCCAGGUUUAUUUGUAUAAUAUAUACUGUGUAUGAGUUUUAGGCAGGUGUGAAAAGUUUGCCUGUAAUUAUUGACAAUACCGGUCAUACUCAAUAUUGAUAUAAUUUAGAUUUAUGUCUUGGAAAUUGAUAUGUAUGUUUUGAAAGCAUUGUUACUUUACAAAAGUAUGGAGGAAAAGAAGCCUAAAAAACUUUGUACAGUUCUGUUAAUACACUACCAGUCAAAAGUUUUGACACACCUUCCCAUUGCAUUGAAUGAGAAGGUGUCCAAACUUUUGACUGGUAGUGUAAGUUAUAGUGUAAAUCAUUACGUGUACACUUACAGGGUUUUAACAGAAAAUGAUAGAAAAUGUCAGCUUGUUUAAAUAAAAUUCAAACUACUAAA